CAGCCAAGGAGGGCUCAGAUGUUAGUCUGUACCUCGGCCUCCCCUCUUCCCCGGGCCACCCAACAUUCACAUACAGGAAAAUAAGAACCAGAGGGCAGUUCCUUAAAGAGAUCCAGCUCUCCAAUAGCCUGAGAUGCUAACUAGGGUGGGUGCUGGCUUCUGAAAAAAGCCAGUCCUAGUCUGGCACUGGUGGAGGCCGGGAGGGCAGCGCCAAGAGGGGCUCCUGGCCUCUCACCCACCCACAUGUGAGGCCAGCCUGAAGGCAAGCCCCACACCCGGACACAAAGCUGCCAUUCAUGCUCCAGCUCAGGCCAGAGGCCCGGAGGGAAACAGUCCAGCAUUUGUAACAGGAAGCACAGCCCCAUCGCCUACAGACACUAGCCUUGUCGUCAUCUGAGUUUGGCAAGGAGCAGGCAAGGAUCACCACACAGGACCCAGUCGAGUGUCACAUCAAGAGAUCCUUGACAUCAUGCUGUCCAUCUAUUGGGGAUAUUGUUUGAUCAUUUGGUUAAGAGGGUGUCACCCUCCUCACUAGAUUUUAUUUAUUUAUCCAUGAGAGACAGAGAGAGAGAGACAGACAGACAGAGGCAGAG